UGCGACAUGGAAACACCGGUUCUCGUAAGACCCCCGAAGUUAAGUAACGUCGAGACUGAUCAGUGCCUAGAUGGGUGACUGCUUGGAAAUACCAGCUGCUGUAA